rnacentral:rRNA from 1 species
GAUAGGUUAAGUUAAUAAGGGCGCAUGGUGGAUGCCUUGGCACUAGAAGGCGAUGAAGGACGUGACUAACUACGAUAUGCCUCGGUUAGCUGUAAGUAAGCUUACCCGGGGGUUUCCGAAUGGGGCAACCCGAUCUUAAUGAUCAUCAUCUUUUUGAAUUCAUAGAUUAGAUGAAGCAAACGCUGUGAACUGAAACAUCUAAGUAGCAGUAGGAAAGUAAAGAAAUUUCGAUUCCGUCAGUAGCGGCGAGCGAACGCGGAAGAGCCCAAACCUGGAUGCUUGCAUCCAGGGGUUGUAGGACUGAUGUUGAGUUACAAAGGUAUAAGAUAGCAGAAACAGUUGGGAAGCUGUUCCAAAGAGGGUGACAGGCCCGUAUGCGAAAUCUUGUACUCUCUAAUCAGGAUCCUGAGUACGGCCCAGCACGUGAAAUUGGGUCGGAAUCUGGGAGGACCAUCUCCCAAGGCUAAAUACUAACUAGUGACCGAUAGCGAACAAGUACCGUGAGGGAAAGGUGAAAAGAACCCCGGAAGGGGAGUGAAAUAGUUCUUGAAACCGUGUGCUUACAAGAAGUUCGAGGCCGUUAAUGGCUGAGAGCGUGCUUUUUGUAGAAUGAACCGGAGAGUUACGAUUGCGUGCAAGGUUAAGGUGCAAAGACUGGAGCCGUAGCGAAAGCGAGUCUUAAUA